CGUCCGGUGUGAAAGUCCAUCGCUUAACGGUGGAUCUGCGCCGGGUACGGGCGGGCUGGAGUGCGGUAGGGGAGACUGGAAUUCCCGGUGUAACGGUGGAAUGUGUAGAUAUCGGGAAGAACACCGAUGGCGAAGGCAGGUCUCUGGGCCGUCACUGACGCUGAGGAGCGAAAGCGUGGGGAGCGAACAGGAUUAGAUACCCUGGUAGUCCACGCCGUAAACGGUGGACGCUGGAUGUGGGGCACGUUCCACGUGUUCCGUGUCGGAGCUAACGCGUUAAGCGUCCCGCCUGGGGAGUACGGCCGCAAGGCUAAAACUCAAAGAAAUUGACGGGGGCCCGCACAAGCGGCGGAGCAUGCGGAUUAAUUCGAUGCAACGCGCAGAACCUGACCUGGGCUUGACAUGUUCCCGACGACGCCAGAGAUGGCGUUUCCCUUCGGGGCGGGUUCACAGGUGGUGCAUGGUCGUCGUCAGCUCGUGUCGUGAGAUGUUGGGUUAAGUCCCGCAACGAGCGCAACCCUCGCCCCGUGUUGCCAGCACGUUAUGGUGGGAACUCACGGGGGACCGCCGGGGUUAACUCGGAGGAAGGUGGGGAUGACGUCAGAUCAUCAUGCCCCUUACGUCCAGGGCUUCACGCAUGCUACAAUGGCCGGUACAGCGGGAUGCGACAUGGCGACAUGGAGCGGAUCCCUGAAAACCGGUCUCAGUUCGGAUCGGAGCCUGCAACCCGGCUCCGUGAAGGCGGAGUCGCUAGUAAUCGCGGAUCAGCAACGCCGCGGUGAAUGCGUUCCCGGGCCUUGUACACACCGCCCGUCAAGUCAUGAAAGUGGGCAGCACCCGAAGCCGGUGGCCUAACCCCUUGUGGGAUGGAGCCGUCUAAGGUGAGGCUCGUGAUUGGGACUAAGUCGUAACAAGGUAGCCGUACCGGAAGGUGCGGCUG
rnacentral:rRNA from 1 species